UAACUAAUACUUAAGGGGUGUGCAAUUUGGCCAUGUUAUGGUUCCCAUAGCAACCAUAGUGAAAUUCUUACCUGUAUUGCCUGUAAAAUCUCAGCCCUAACAGGUCAGUGUAGACCGCAUUUCAUUUCUUGUUUGUAAUGAGGCCCAUGGAUCCUUGACAGUGGGGCUCUCCUCUAUGCGGCCUUGGAGGAAGACCACAGGUGUCAGUCAGAGGCAGAGGUGGUGUGACUCCACCUCAGAAACCUCCUGCUUAGGUCUGGUUCUCCAGCUGCAAAUAGGGAGACCAGCUACUCCCUGCUGCAGAGCAACUUUAAGAAGAAAAUGCUUAACAUUUCUAGGCCAUGAGGAUCUGCCUUUAGUGUCAGAGAGGAUAGUCACAGGGAUGCCCUAUGCUCCCGCACAAGGAGUGCAGAAUGGCAGAGAAGGUGAAGAAGAGAGGGAAAGCCAGAUACCAUGGCUCCUGCACGUCCCCCUCUGACUGAGGGCCUUCAUGGAGAUCUGUCUAUGCUGUUCUGCGGAGACUCAGGCCCCUCUCAAGUGCUCAGGAAGAGGCAGAGUUUCCUGUAGCCUCCCUCCCUCCCAGGACUGCCUUGGGAAGUGCUCUCAGGAAGCAGUGGCAGCUCCUCAGCAGCGAAAUCCCCUCAGGCCUGGCAGAGGGAGAAGCAAUGGCCUUGGGAUUAGUACAAGUGGCAGUUCCCCCAUUCCCCUCAUGUGGCAGGACAGGGGAAUACGGAUUGAAACCCAAAAUCAGAGGUCCAAGGAAUCUUCCUGUUCCCAACCAGCCACUGGAGCCUGAACUCGCAGCCAUGAGUAAUUGUGAAGGCGUUACCCAGCCCUUCUCCCCGCUGCAGUGCCAGGGAGCUACUGACAGGGAUCCGGAGACACCAGCGAGAGCCAGUUACACUAGGUCAUCUGCUGCAUCAGAGGCUAUUCCACAUGGUGCACUGGGCUGUGCGGGUUCAUUACCAAUUCUCUACAGACCUACUGCAUCCUGCAGGGCAGGAAAAGGGCGCAUAUUAGGAAUGAAAAUGCUCAAGCAGAGAUGCUCAUGCUGGACUCUAAACAAGCAGAGACCCCAUUCAAAAGUUAAAAAUGUACAGAAAGGAAAUAAGAGCCUACACGCUGACCCCCAGGCUCGUGGGUUUGUCUAGUGUCUUGCUAAAACCAGUCACCAGCUCCACCAUUACUGAUGUCAGGACCAAGUGUGAGAUAAUUAUAGCUUCUCCAGCUGACUACUGGACCUCUUAAUAUGCCCAAAGUGACUAAGGCUCCAGACUAACACGGCUGCUUCUCUGAAACC